GCCUCUGGGGUUUAGUGGUAGCACGCAUCCCCGUUAUGGAUGGAACGCGGUUUCAACUCCCGUCCGAGGCU